rnacentral:lncRNA from 10 species
GGAAAAGGCAGUAUCUGCCCUCCCCUCCGGGUGAGGAUGUAGCUGCAGCUGCUGGACCCACAUCUGCAGACCUGCGCCUCCUGUUCCACAGAGCUAGCAGGAGCCAGGGACAAGCAGGAGCCCUGCCCCUUCUAAGUUGGUGGGGCAGGAGCUCCCAGGUGCUGCUGCGGCCACCCUCUCAGGGAAGGACCCGGGCAUCUCUACAGCCUGCACCCUCACAGGUUCCAGAAAGGACACUCCCCCAUCCCCCAGGCAGGCUCUGGGGUGUUUUCUCCCACUGCCUGGCCUCUCUACUUUCCUGGCACCUGUUCCGAUUGUGGAGCAGGAUCUGGGCCGAGCUCCCGGACCAUGAAUGGCAACGGGAGGCAGACACCCUGGUGGAAGGGGGUGGGUCUCCAGUAAGGCCUCACCUUCAGUCCAGGGAGGACCUGAAGGCUGGGGGCUGGGCUGCCAGUCCUGCAGACUGGAGUGGGGAGCCUCUUCUCAGGUAAGAAUCUUAACCUUCUCACCGGCCCAUGGCUGCCCAUGGACCAAUGGACAUGCACUUCCUCCCCUCUGAGGUCUGUAAAAGCCCUAGGCUCAGCCAGAGGACAGCCAGAGGACGAAGAGGGCAGAAAGGCAACCGGACGACCAGACCACCUGCAGAGAGGAGCUACCCUCUCUGCUGAGAGCUGCAGAGAUGGCUUGUCUGCGUACCUCAUUCUUCCUGGGCACAGGACAAGAACUCUUGUAAAGGUGCCACUGGCCACAGAGGUUUCUGGGAAGAAAAUUGAUACCCCAAGGAUCCCGUAACAGUUUCAUAGUGAAGAAUUUAAGUGACAUCAAAUAGCAUGAUUGGUUGUUGCUGCUAGCCACAGGGCCACCUUCAUGGAGGAGACAUGGAGUGUCCAAUGAGGAACUUGGGUUUUAUGAACACUAAGUCCCUACCAAUCCCAACAGUAUGUCUGAAUCUCUGAGUUCCCAUAAGAAGAAAGAUUCUUCUCAAAAUAAAUCACUAAUAAGGGAAAUUUGGUGACUGAUUGAAGCUAAGGAAGAUAACCUCAUUUCUACUUCUGUAAGGAGGAAAAUACCCUCUCUGCCAAAGAUCCAGAGCUCAGUACCUGCACAGAUGUUCUUAUGGCCCAAGGAAAUCCUUCUCCACAUCUCUUGCCCUAUUACCUUGAAAGAAAAAGUGGCUGCCCCAAAUCCCCAAACGCCAUGAACAUUGAAGGAUGGUGCCCCUGUCCAUGUUGCAUUUGGAUGCCUCUUUGGAGUAUCAGGAGGAUUUGAGCAGUGGAAGCUCUUAAGAAAGAAAAUACAAAUUAUUUUAAGAAGAAAACAACCCCAUCAAAAAGUGGGUGAAGGAUAUGAACAGACACUUCUCAAAAGAAGACAUUUAUGCAGCCAAAAGACACAUGAAAAAAUGCUCA